ACCAGAAUGGAAUAGAAAACACCAUUACUGGAAUUAAUAUAGAGAUGAACCAAUUACAGAGGCAAAAAUAAUUAGUUCAAAAAACUUUUGUGAAUUUGAAAAAAUGCUACAAAAGCAUUUUUGUCAAACCAUCCAGUUGUUGAAAGUAAAAACCAUACUUCUGCUACUGAGCAAAAGAAAAAGAGUGGUUGGGCUGCAAUUUGCAGUGAAUUCAAUGCAAAUGAAAAUGUAACCACAAGAAUAGUACAACAACUUCAGACUCUGUGGAAGAACCUUAAACUGGCUUUAAAGAGAGAGACUGCAGAGAUCAGAAGAGAGCGAUUUUCUCCUGGUGGUGGACCACCAAGACAAGACGGAAGAAUUGAGUGACUUGCUGUCUGGAAUAAUAGAGCACUAGCAACCUCUGGAUUGUAUACCAGACGAUGACCAUUAGGACAGUUCAGAUGACAACCUGAGCACAAAUGACACAUAUACCAAAGAAAAGGAAAGCAAUCUGAACAGGUUGGAAGAGCCUGUGCACAGUGAGUGUACCCUCCAUCUGCUAUAGCAUCCAUGAGAGAAGAUGCUGCCACCACCUUUCAGAAGAUAACCAAAAAAGAUGACCAUGCAUGAAAAGUUAGCCAGAGGAUUACAUGAGCAUAAAAUGAAAUCUCUGAAGGAAGAACAUAACAGGAUAAUUCUACAGGUUGAUUUGGAUAUGAAGUUAGAAGAGAGGUAUGAUCCCAAAAAUAUACAGUAAUGAGACCAUUUUGAUUACCAGCCAUGGUGAACAAUAUAUGUAAAAAAUGUUUUGUAAUUUGGAUAUUCAUGAGUGUGUAUUUAAAUCA